AAACUCAAAUGAAUUGACGGGGCCCGGCACAAGCGGAGGAGCAUGUGGUUUAAUUCGAUGAUACGCGAGGAACCUUACCUGGGCUCGAACGUAAGAUGACUGUAGGUGAAAGCUUACAUCUCUUCGGAGCAUUUUACGAGGUGCUGCAUGGUUGUCGUCAGCUCGUGCCGUGAGGUGUCGGGUUAAGUCCCAUAACGAGCGCAACCCCUACCUUUAGUUGCCAUCAGGUAAUGCUGGGGACUCUAAAGGAACUGCCUACGCAAGUAGUGAGGAAGGCGGGGAUGACGUCAAGUCCUCAUGGCCCUUACGGGCUGGGCUACACACGUGCUACAAUGGUGGUGACAGUGGGCAGCGAGCACGCGAGUGUGAGCUAAUCUCCAAAAGCCAUCUCAGUUCGGAUUGCACUCUGCAACUCGAGUGCAUGAAGUUGGAAUCGCUAGUAAUCGCGGAUCAGCAUGCCGCGGUGAAUACGUUCCCGGGCCUU
rnacentral:rRNA from 1 species